rnacentral:rRNA from 1 species
AGUUUGAUCCUGGCUCAGAUUGAAUCGGCUGGGCGGGAUGCUUUACAUGCAAGUCGAAUCAGGCGUGCACGGACUUCGGUCUGGUGGCGAGUGGCGAACGCCAGGUGAGUAAUGUAUCGGAACGUGCCUAGUAGUUGGGGAUAACUACGCGAAAGCGUAGCUAAUAAUGGAGCACACGCCUUCGGGGGAAAGCGGGGGACCUUUCGGGCCUCGCACUAUUAGAGCGUGGCCGAUAUCGACGGGCCAGCUGGUGGGGUAACGGCUCACCAAGGCGACGAUCCGUAGCUGGUUUGAGAGGACGACCAGCCACACUGGGACUGAGACACGCCCAGACUCCUACGGGAGGCAGCAGCAGUGGGGAAUUUUGGACAAUGGGGAAACCCUGAUCCAGCCAUCCCGCGUGUGCGAUGAAGGCCUUCGGGUUGUAAAGCACUUUUGGCAGGAAAGAAACGGCACGGGAUAAUACCCCCGUGCAACUGACGGUACCGGCAGAAUAAGCACCGGCUAACUACGCCAGCAGCCGUAAUACGUGUAGGUGCAAGCGUUAAUCGGAAUUACUGCUGCAAGCGUGGCGGCGUUCGGAAAGAAAGAUGUGAAAUCCUGUAUUUAACUCUUUUGGAACUGCAUUUUUAACUACUGAGCUAGAGUGUGUCAGAGGGAGGAACCCGGUAGCAGUGAAAUGCGUAGGAUAUGGAGGAACACCGAUGGCGAAGGCAUCUCCUGGGAUAACACUGACGCUCUCAUGCACGAAAGCGUGGGGAGCAAACAGGAUUAGAUACCCUGGUAGUCCACGCCCCAAACGAUGUCAACUAGUCAAGUGGGGCCUUCGGCCUUGGUAGCGCAGCUGGAUGGCAGAAGUUGACCGCCUGGGAGUACGGUCGCAAGAUUAAAACUCAAAGCGAGAAUUGACGGGGACCCGCACAAGCGCGGUGAUGAUGUGGAUUAAUCUGAUGCAACGCGAAAACCUUACCUACCCUUGACAUGUCUGGAAUCCUUGAAGAGAUUUGGGAGUGCUCGCAAGAGAACCGGAACACAGGUGCUGCAUGGCUGUCACGUCGCGCUCGUGUCGUGAGAUGUUGUCCGCAAGAGCGGCAACUCCUUGUCAUUAGUUGCUACGAAAGGGCACUCUAAUGAGACUGCCGGUGAGACAAACCGGAGGAAGGUGGGGAGCGCGACGUCAAGUCCGCCAUGGCCCUUAUGGGGAAGCCUACACGUCAUACAAUGGUCGGGACAGAGGGUCGCCAACCCGCGAGGGGGAGCCAAUCCCAGAAACCCGACGUAGUCCGGAUCGCAGUCUGCAACUCGACUGCGUGGAAGUCGGAAUCUGCUAGUAAUCGCGGAUCAGCAUGUCGCGGUGAAUACGUUCUGGGUCUUGUACACACCGCCCGUCACACCAUGGGAGUGGGUUUACCAGAAGUAGUUAGCCUAACCGUAAGGGAGGGCGAUUACUAAUGGAGGAUUCAUGACUGGGGUGAAGUCGUAACAAGGUAA